rnacentral:snRNA from 1 species
UUCCAUUCCGGCAUUGGUAA